rfam:Salmonella enterica subsp. arizonae serovar 62:z4,z23:--, complete genome.
GGUUAAGCGACCAAGCGUACACGGUGGAUGCCCUGGCAGUCAGAGGCGAUGAAGGACGUGCUAAUCUGCGAAAAGCGCCGGUAAGGUGAUAUGAACCGUUAUAACCGGCGAUGUCCGAAUGGGGAAACCCAGUGUGACUCGUCACACUAUCAUUAACUGAAUCCAUAGGUUAAUGAGGCGAACCGGGGGAACUGAAACAUCUAAGUACCCCGAGGAAAAGAAAUCAACCGAGAUUCCCCCAGUAGCGGCGAGCGAACGGGGAGGAGCCCAGAGCCUGAAUCAGCAUGUGUGUUAGUGGAAGCGUCUGGAAAGGCGCGCGAUACAGGGUGACAGCCCCGUACACAAAAGCGCAUGUGCUGUGAGCUCGAUGAGUAGGGCGGGACACGUGGUAUCCUGUCUGAAUAUGGGGGGACCAUCCUCCAAGGCUAAAUACUCCUGACUGACCGAUAGUGAACCAGUACCGUGAGGGAAAGGCGAAAAGAACCCCGGCGAGGGGAGUGAAACAGAACCUGAAACCGUGUACGUACAAGCAGUGGGAGCAUGAGUUUACUCAUGUGACUGCGUACCUUUUGUAUAAUGGGUCAGCGACUUAUAUUCUGUAGCAAGGUUAACCGAAUAGGGGAGCCGGAGGGAAACCGAGUCUUAACCGGGCGUUAAGUUGCAGGGUAUAGACCCGAAACCCGGUGAUCUAGCCAUGGGCAGGUUGAAGGUUGGGUAACACUAACUGGAGGACCGAACCGACUAAUGUUGAAAAAUUAGCGGAUGACCUGUGGCUGGGGGUGAAAGGCCAAUCAAACCGGGAGAUAGCUGGUUCUCCCCGAAAGCUAUUUAGGUAGCGCCUCGUGAAUUCAUCUCCGGGGGUAGAGCACUGUUUCGGCCAGGGGGCCAUCCCGGCUUACCAACCCGAUGCAAACUGCGAAUACCGGAGAAUGUUAUCACGGGAGACACACGGCGGGUGCUAACGUCCGUCGUGAAGAGGGAAACAACCCAGACCGCCAGCUAAGGUCCCAAAGUCAUGGUUAAGUGGGAAACGAUGUGGGAAGGCCCAGACAGCCAGGAUGUUGGCUUAGAAGCAGCCAUCAUUUAAAGAAAGCGUAAUAGCUCACUGGUCGAGUCGGCCUGCGCGGAAGAUGUAACGGGGCUAAACCAUGCACCGAAGCUGCGGCAGCGACACUGUGUGUUGUUGGGUAGGGGAGCGUUCUGUAAGCCUGCGAAGGUGUGCUGUGAGGCAUGCUGGAGGUAUCAGAAGUGCGAAUGCUGACAUAAGUAACGAUAAUGCGGGUGAAAAACCCGCACGCCGGAAGACCAAGGGUUCCUGUCCAACGUUAAUCGGGGCAGGGUGAGUCGACCCCUAAGGCGAGGCCGAAAGGCGUAGUCGAUGGGAAACAGGUUAAUAUUCCUGUACCUGGUGUUACUGCGAAGGGGGGACGGAGAAGGCUAUGUUGGCCGGGCGACGGUUGUCCCGGUUUAAGCGUGCAGGCUGGUUUUCCAGGCAAAUCCGGAAAAUCAAGGCUGAGGCGUGACGACGAGGCACUACGGUGCUGAAGCAACAAAUGCCCUGCUUCCAGGAAAAGCCUCUAAGCCUCAGGUAACAUCAGAUCGUACCCGAAACCGACACAGGUGGUCAGGUAGAGAAUACCAAGGCGCUUGAGAGAACCCGGGUGAAGGAACUAGGCAAAAUGGUGCCGUAACUUCGGGAGAAGGCACGCUGACACGUAGGUGAAGCGGUUUACCCGUGGAGCUGAAGUCAGUCGAAGAUACCAGCUGGCUGCAACUGUUUAUUAAAAACACAGCACUGUGCAAACACGAAAGUGGACGUAUACGGUGUGACGCCUGCCCGGUGCCGGAAGGUUAAUUGAUGGGGUCAGCGCAAGCGAAGCUCCUGAUCGAAGCCCCGGUAAACGGCGGCCGUAACUAUAACGGUCCUAAGGUAGCGAAAUUCCUUGUCGGGUAAGUUCCGACCUGCACGAAUGGCGUAAUGAUGGCCAGGCUGUCUCCACCCGGGACUCAGUGAAAUUGAACUCGCUGUGAAGAUGCAGUGUACCCGCGGCAAGACGGAAAGACCCCGUGAACCUUUACUAUAGCUUGACACUGAACACUGGUCCUUGAUGUGCAGGAUAGGUGGGAGGCUUUGAAGUGUGGACGCCAGUCUGCAUGGAGCCGUCCUUGAAAUACCACCCUUUAAUGGCUGGUGUUCUAACGUAGACCCGUGAACCGGGUUGCGGACAGUGUCUGGUGGGUAGUUUGACUGGGGCGGUCUCCUCCUAAAGCGUAACGGAGGAGCACGAAGGUUGGCUAAUCCUGGUCGGACAUCAGGAGGUUAGUGCAAUGGCAUAAGCCAGCUUGACUGCGAGCGUGACGGCGCGAGCAGGUGCGAAAGCAGGUCAUAGUGAUCCGGUGGUUCUGAAUGGAAGGGCCAUCGCUCAACGGAUAAAAGGUACUCCGGGGAUAACAGGCUGAUACCGCCCAAGAGUUCAUAUCGACGGCGGUGUUUGGCACCUCGAUGUCGGCUCAUCACAUCCUGGGGCUGAAGUAGGUCCCAAGGGUAUGGCUGUUCGCCAUUUAAAGUGGUACGCGAGCUGGGUUUAGAACGUCGUGAGACAGUUCGGUCCCUAUCUGCCGUGGGCGCUGGAGAACUGAGGGGGGCUGCUCCUAGUACGAGAGGACCGGAGUGGACGCAUCACUGGUGUUCGGGUUGUCAUGCCAAUGGCACUGCCCGGUAGCUAAAUGCGGAAGAGAUAAGUGCUGAAAGCAUCUAAGCACGAAACUUGCCCCGAGAUGAGUUCUCCCUGAGACUACAAGUCUCCUGAAGGAACGUUGAAGACGACGACGUUGAUAGGCCGGGUGUGUAAGCGCAGCGAUGCGUUGAGCUAACCGGUACUAAUGAACCGUGAGGCUUAACCUU